rnacentral:rRNA from 1 species
AUGGUUGACAGCCACAUCCGUGGCAGGGACAACACCAAUGCUGAGGACUUCGAUGACGAUGAUGCCCUAGGUGAGGAUGACCCAGCUCUACUCACAACUCCCGUGAAGGGUACCGACGAGCCUUCCAAGAAAUUCGAUUCAAGAGGACUCAUCUACGCGGAAGGUCUUUUAAGUGCCAGUUGUACCCGCACAGAAAUUUUGCGCCCUCAACUACACCAGGAUGUCUCCUGCAUUAGCAUCACAACUUCUCUCACCACGGACAGCUCGCUACUCUUCUUGCAUUAG